GGCCGAAUAGCUGAGUUGGUUUUAGCGCUGCCCUGAAAAGGCAGAGACCCCUGUUCAAAUCAGGGUUUGGCCAUCA
rnacentral:tRNA from 2 species